GUAGGGAAUCUUGCGCAAUGGGCGAAAGCCUGACGCAGCCAUGCCGCGUGAAUGAUGAAGGUCUUAGGAUUGUAAAAUUCUUUCACCGGGGAAGAUAAUGACGGUACCCGGAGAAGAAGCCCCGGCUAACUUCGUGCCAGCAGCCGCGGUAAUACGAAGGGGGCUAGCGUUGCUCGGAAUUACUGGGCGUAAAGGGCGCGUAGGCGGACAGUUUAGUCAGAGGUGAAAGCCCAGGGCUCAACCUUGGAAUUGCCUUUGAUACUGGCUGUCUUGAGUUCGGGAGAGGUGAGUGGAAUGCCGAGUGUAGAGGUGAAAUUCGUAGAUAUUCGGCGGAACACCAGUGGCGAAGGCGACUCACUGGCCCGAUACUGACGCUGAGGCGCGAAAGCGUGGGGAGCAAACAGG
rnacentral:rRNA from 1 species